CACGCAUGAAAUUUAGGUAUUAUUUCAGAUGCUUUUUCCUUUUUUCAAAACAAAGCUAGAUAUAUUACUUCUAGGGAUGGAUUUCUAAAGAUUUUUCAACAUAUACGAGCUCUUGCAGAUAAUCAAUAUUUUCUAUUGUUCCUUUCUUUUUUGAUAACAUAAUUAAAAAUACUAAGAUGAACAUCCUCUUAACGAUCUUCACCUUCACUACGUCUUCAAUUCUCAUUCUCUUCUCUUUUCUCAUACUCAAAAUCUAUUCCGGAAAAUCUAUCAAAGACCCUAGUUAUCCACCAGUAAAUGGAACAGUCUUUCAUAUGCUCUUCUACUUCAACAAACUUUAUGACUACCAAACUCAAUUUGCCAAAACUCAACGAACUUUUAGGCUUCUUUCUCCUGAAAACAGCCAAAUCUACACCACCGAUAUACGAAACAUAGAACAUGUACUAAAAUUAAAUUUCGGUAAAUAUUCAAAAGGGAAGUAUAAUCAAGAUAUUAUGACAGAUCUUUUUGGCCAUGGGAUAUUCAACGUGGAUGGAGAAAAGUGGAGGCAACAGAGGAAACUCGCUAGCUUUGAGUUUUCAACAAGAGUUCUUAGAGAUUUUAGCUGUGCUGUGUUUAGAAAAAACACUGCUAAGCUGGUCAAAGCAGUUUCGGAGUUUGCUACUGCGGGUCGGAUCUUCGAUAUGCAAGAUGUACUGAUUAAAUGCGCUUUGGAUUCGAUGUUCAAAGUCGGGUUUGGAGUUGAUUUGAAUUGCUUGGAUGGGUUAAGCAAAGAGGGGACUGAAUUCAUGAAAGCCUUUGACGAUGCAAAUGCUUUGGUGUAUUGGCGAUAUGUUGAUCCAUUCUGGAAGCUGAAAAGGUCUCUUAACAUCGGUUCUGAAGCGUCUCUUAAGAACAAUCUGAAAGUCAUUGAUGAGUUUGUGAACAGACUUAUUAGAACUAAGAGAGAUAAUCUGACGCUGCAACAAGAUUUUAAUCUAAAAGAAGACAUACUAUCAAGAUUUCUGGUGGCGAGUCAAGAGGAUCCGGAGAAAAUGAACGAUAAAUACUUAAGGGACAUAAUAUUGAGUUUUAUGAUCGCUGGCAAAGAUACUACUGCCAAUACUCUCUCUUGGUUCAUUUACAUGCUCUGCAAGAAUCCUUUAAUACAGGAAAAGGUGGUGCAAGAAGUAAAUGAUAUCACUGGUAAUGAUGGGAAAGAAACAACCAACAUUGAUGAUUUUGUGGCUAAUAUAACCGAGGAGACACUUGAGAGAAUGCAGUAUCUCCAUGCAGCAUUAACAGAGACUUUGAGACUAUACCCUGUGGUCCCUGUGGAUGGAAGGUGUGCAGAAAUAGACGACAUUCUUCCUGAUGGAUUUAGGCUAAAGAAAGGAGAUGGGGUGUACUACAUGGCCUAUGCCAUGGGUAGAAUGUCUUAUAUUUGGGGAGAAGACACUGCAGAAUUCCGUCCUGAAAGAUGGCUCAAGAAUGGAAUUUUUCAACCUGAAUCACCUUUCAAAUUUGUAUCUUUUCAUGCUGGUCCUCGAAUUUGCCUCGGAAAAGACUUUGCUUAUCGUCAGAUGAAGAUAGUAGCAAUUGCCCUUCUUCGCUUCUUCCACUUCAAAUUGGCCGAUGACACAAAAAACGUAACUUACAAGACAAUGUUUACGCUUCACAUUGAUGGAAGCCUCGAUCUUUAUGCAAUUUCAAGGAAUAGUUGAUGGAUAUCAAAAUGUGACGCCCAAACAGAAGAAAAAGGAAAAACAAUCUAGUUUUUAUUUGCAGGAAGCGUAUUGCACUUAACUCUUGCAUUGUCAGCUCGGGCUUCUAAUAAUGUUGGAUUAUUGUGGCUAUUCUGAUCUCUGUAGGAACUGUCAAGGGUGUUCCAAUCAGAAUGCGAUGAGAAUGCUGUUUAUUGAGUACUGCGAGAGAGGGAGUCAUUUGGAAAAAAAAUUGGAACUGAUUAAAAAUCCAGAAGAGAGCGACAAUAUGAUCAGGACCGAUUGUACCCAACAACAGAUAAAUUUAU